AACGCACGAGACCUGCGGACCUGCGGAGGGAUCAUUAAUGAGAAGCUGCCCCUCGUGGGUAGACCUCCCACCCUCUGUGAACUUACCUUUGUUGCUUUGGCAGGCCCGUCCUCUGGACCGCCGGCUUCGGCUGGCCCGUGCCUGCCAGAGGAUUCCAAACCCUGUCUGUCAGAGUUGUCUGAGUCUAUAUGAAAUCGUUAAAACUUUCAACAAUGGAUCUCUAGAUCGGAAGAGCACACG
rnacentral:misc_RNA from 1 species